AAUUAUUGAUACUCACUCCUCAUUUCACGUUUCAGACUUGAUACCGACAAUAAGUGCACAUACUCGAAUCCGAUAGAGCCAACAAAAUUUUCACUUGUUUGGUAUCAUCCAGCCCUUUAAACACUAAAGUAGUUUGAAGAAACGUUGUUGUUGAUUCUCCCAAAACUUAUCACUGCCAGGAAGAUUCUUAAUCGCCGCAUCACUGUGAAAUUCUACUCAUUGAGAAACCGCCUUGAAACUCUCAGACGCAGUAUAUGUGGAUCCAAAUUUGUAAGACCUAGUGGGAAAAAUAUUACUCUAUACACAAAAGAUGGCAUUUGAAGGACGGGACUACCCGCUGUAUUGGAACACCUUAAAUUGUAAAUUUUCGAGAAGAGCGGACGUUCGGUGCUUAUACCUAAUCAUGUGAGGCAGUCCUUUUCAGUUUUUGUUAAAAAAAUGAGAACAAUGUGGAAAUCGGUUUGUAGGGAAGAAAAUACGUUUUGCAAGUAA
rnacentral:lncRNA from 1 species